UCUGUUGUGUAAAGGGAAGGAGCAAGGUGACAAGAAGCCAGACCGGGAACUAGAGUGCUCUCUUCUGGGAUGCUUCGUCUGUGGCCGAGCCCUUGCCAAGGACAUCGCUGGCCUCUGGACAAGGGCUUUCCGAGCACGUUCUGUUGCACACGGUUCCGCUCACAACUUUAUGCAUCCUGGUGCAUCUCCUGUGAACAGUACUGGGAACAGAGGCACAGCUCCGCACUGCCACCUGCAUCAGCCUGGGGGAUUCUGGUAAUCUUUUAGCGGCCUUGGGUAAAACCGGAUCCGUGGCUUCAACCAGAAAAAUAAAUAAAUAAAUAAAGUUGAGCCAAUGUUAAAGGAGCUGCCAUGAAAAAUGGAAAGAAUGCCGCUCAGGGAAGAGUGAGUCAUGAGGAAAGCGUGGACGAUGUUUUUAACAGAUUCUAACCAGGCAUGUUGAGAGAAAGUGAGAUGCUUAGGGAAACAAUAAGAUACACUCAAGUGUGGGCAUGGGCUUCUCAAGGGAGAGUUGCCAUUAAACGCCUCAGCAGUUGCUGUAUUUGCCAUUUUAGUGGCUUCCAGUUUACAUCUGAAAGGGCUGCUGAGAUUUUCUUUUCUCCAUUUCUUACUUUGUGUGUGUUCGCGCGCACACACACAUGCGAGUGCACGUGCGCUCGCUCACGCAUGCAACAAGUGCAUGCAGGAUACCCUCAGAAGCCAGAAGAGGGCACUGAUUGGAUCCCCUAGAACUGGAGUGAACUCUCCUGGGGGAGCUGGGACUUGAACACCAGUUCUCUGGAAGAGCAACCAACGCUCUUAGUCACUGAGCCAUUUCUUUUCUGGCAUUUAUUUAUUUAUAUUAAUAAAAGCAGCUCCAGAGGUGUCUCUGAUGGAAUAACAAUCGGAUAAACCAAAACCAAGAAUCUCUAGGGGUGUAUAAGGGGGGUGGGAAGUACCUUUUACAAUGAAAGCGGUUGGGUUAAGAUUCCUAGAAAAUGUGGGUUUAAAGCUGGGAAAAGAGCAAAGCCUUAAUAAAUACUCAUUGUGUUAGAAUUAUUUUUUAAAUUUAUUAUUGUUGUUGUGUAUAUGUUGUGUGAAUGCAGGUGUGUGUGUGUGUGUGUGUGUGUGUAUACCAUGGCACACAUACGGAGGUUAGAGGAAAAUUUUCCCAAACUGUUUCUCGCCUUCUGCCACAGGAUGCAGAGAUUGAAUUUGUUGCUUAGCGAGUGUUUUUACCUGCUGAGAAGCAUUGUCAUCACUGUGUUGGGAAAUCUGACUCUCAGCUCGCUGAAGACUUCAACCAGACUCUGGAGUGAGGGGGUCCCCUCCUUUUCACGUACAUAACUUUCCCUAUCUUUCAAUUCUUCCACAGCCAAUGUCUCAAACCUGAGCAAGUGUGUGUGUGUGUGUGUGUGUGUGUGUGUGUGUGUGUGUGUGUGUGAUAGUGAACCGCAGGUCAAAGCCAGGCACUUUCAAGCGCUUUGCACCUAUGCCAGUGGCCAGAUGUGGUCGGGUUCUGCGAGGAGUUCCAGCCUUCCUAUCUGCCAGCUUUCUCUUUACAUUUGCUGAUGUUGCAGCCUCUGUGAGGAUCCUCAAAUGCACGUCUCUGUCCUGUUCCAUAUCACACUCACGUCCCCGUCGGCUGACAUCUUCUGUCCCAAGGUAUCUUGCCUCCCAUAAAAUAAUAAUAAUAAUGUAUUAUGUAUUAAUGUAUUGCGUAUAAUUAAUUUUAAUUACUACAAUAACAUAAUAAUGUUACAAUUGAUAAUUACUCAUUAUAAUUCAUAACAAUAUUCUUCUUAUUAUAGUAACAAAUUCUUAUCUGAGGCAAGAUAGAAAGCCUGGAAACUGUGGGGGCUUGGAAAGGAGAGAUUGCAGCCUUCUGCCAAGGGAUAGUCAUGGAGACCAGCACAGUCAGCAACAUUUGCUAUGACCAUAGCUAACAAUGUAUACAAACUGUUUUUCCUUUAAAUUAUUUUUUAUUUAUUCUUUGAAAAUUUCAUAUAUAUAUAUAUGCAAUCUAUUUUUACAAUGUUAACCAUUCCUUUCUGGUAUUUGUUUUUACGCCAUGAUGUUUUCAAAGCGGAGUGUUAAAGCAGCAAUACAGCAGAUGAAGCCGUUCCAGCAAGUGGAAAUGCCAGCUCAUGGAUCACCGUCCUCGGUGCUAAGGAUGGACUUCUGGGACUAAGCAGUCACAGCGCAGAGUCACAUCCCCAGGGAAGUGCACAGAUUAUCUUCACACAAACCCACUAGGGAGGCUGUACUAGCUCCUCAAGCCACAGAUAACGCUCUCUGAAACCCCAGCUUGGCUCCCGAGUCCCGGGAAGUUUCCUUUGCCAUUCUGGAGAAGUGAUGUGCGGAGACCUCUCACAUACCCCAGAGAGGCAGGCACAGGGAUCCUUCGUGACAGCUUCAUUGGUCAGCUGCGGGGCAGCAGGCCAGGGUGGUGGGCCUUUCUCUUGUGUGGAUUCUUACGAGUUCGCUGGUCCCCGCGGUUUUCUUGGCCGGAAGGAUCCUGCUGCCCAGUGAAAAGCUCAGCAAAACGACGCUGCUCCAAAAAGCAACCAAACACCUCUGUGCUUGUUUUUGUUUUAUUUGCCUUGCCUUCUGUUUGUCUUAAUUUGAUUUUUUUUAAUCCUUUUUACUUCUUCCUUCUUUGUAGUAGUUUGAAGGAUCUGUCCCCCAUAGUCUUGAGCGUUGAAUACUUGGUCCCGCAGCAGGCGGCACUGUUUGGGAAAUUUAGGAAGUCUGCCUUACUCUAGGAAGCAUGUCACUGGAGAUAGGCUUUGGGGUUCAAAUGUCACAUGCUACUCCCAGUUCUCCCUCCCUUAACUUAAAUGUGACAAGUACAGCACUGUCAUGCUGCUUCUCUCUAUACUCCGAACGCUAGAUCAGUAAGUAAAUGAAUGCGCAUA